GAUGAACGCUGGCGGCGUGCUUAACACAUGCAAGUCGAACGGACUUGAUUGGAGCUUGCUCCGAUCAAGUUAGUGGCGGACGGGUGAGUAACGCGUGGGUAACCUGCCUCACACUGGGGGACAACAGUUGGAAACGACUGCUAAUACCGCAUAAGCAUACAGUGUCGCAUGACACAGUGUGAAAAACUCCGGUGGUGUGAGAUGGACCCGCGUCUGAUUAGCUAGUUGGUGAGGUAACGGCCCACCAAGGCAACGAUCAGUAGCCGGCCUGAGAGGGUGAACGGCCACAUUGGGACUGAGACACGGCCCAAACUCCUACGGGAGGCAGCAGUGGGGAACUAUUGGGCAAAUGGGGGAAACCCUGACCCAGCAACGCCGCGUGGAGGAAGAAGGUUUCGGAUCGGUAAACUCCUGUCCUCAGGGACGAAGAACGUGACGGUACCUGGAGAAAAAGCGACGGCUAACUACGUGCCAGCAG
rnacentral:rRNA from 1 species